rnacentral:lncRNA from 1 species
AGAUGUUAGAGAACCUCGAUCAUAGUCGGCAGGCAAAAGGAGAGAAUUACCAGAGUAUAUCUUCGGGAGAGAAUAUGUCAUUGUCUCGAUCAAUAUCCACAAUGCAAUUCACUCAUUAGAAUACAUCAUUUGCCCCAUAUAUAUAAAUUUCAGUGAAUUCGAAAGGCAUUAAUGUCAUGAAUGUAGCUGGGUCUCAUUCAUCAUCAUGUAUACAACCAGACGACAGGCUGGGGGUUGAUUUGAACGAUUGAUAAUAUCCUACAAAGUGGUCAUAUCUGAUAUUCUGGAAACCAGAUCGAAUUUCUUAAUUCAAUCCUCGAUCGAUCAGUAAGUAAACAAUUAAAACAUCAAAGGAUUUUUCAUUGUUAAGGUUAAGGGUUUGCAAGCAGAAGUUCGGUGAACACACAGAGAUAUUUAGGAGCUGAUUUUUAUACCAACAAAAAGAUUGCAUCGAGUAGUUUCAUACUUUCAUUUAACAUGUUGAUGUUUUUCUUGGUCAGAGAGUCAGAGCCAAGUAGCUGCACACUGAUAUUAUAAUGCAGUAGCAAACAAAUGGGAUUAAAUAUGAAUCUAUGGAAGGAGGGAAAGACAUACUGGCCUUGGGAGUCAUAAAUUGCUUCCAUUGAUUGACCAAAACAAUGCAGGUUAAGUUUCUUUGAUUCUUUUGUUCGAGGAAAAAAAAUAUACAUGUUUUCUCUAACAACUUUACAAUUGGUAUCAGCUGCAUGGGCAUUUGCUCCCCUUAAUAAUCAAGCAUAUAAGUAACAAUUGCUCAAUUAUAGGUGUGGAAAAAGGAGAGGAAUAUAUAACUUCGGUUUUGUGUUUGACACAGUUGAUCUGAAGUUCUGAACUGGCAGAAUGAACCUGUGUUUUAAGUCUCUUAUUUUCAUUCAUAUUGAUCUCGAUCAAUCUCAAUGGAAUGCUUAUUAUCGAUCAGCUUUUCUUUUGCUUUGUUUCUGAUUUAGUAUUGUAUCCUUCUUAACGUACAUAGAACUAAAAGAACAUCUAAUUACUGCUUAUAAUAAUCAUCCAAAAUAAUAGAACAACAUAUUAGUACUUUUUCUUUUGUUGGCUAUCAAAACACUUGCACAUCAUAUAUUGACUUCUGUAUCUUUGAAGGCUUUAACCACUAAAAACAGUACGCCUGCACAGCAGCUGCACUCAUUUGAAUCUUGAGUCUUGACCACAAUGUGCAGUUUAAUUAUAAAGAACUAGCUUCUCAUAUGCGCAAUUAUAAUAUGGUAGAUUGAAUAAUAAAAGAAAACCCUGAGCUAAAGACGGAGCCAUCCUUUUAGACUUCACUUCAUAUUAGGUUAUUAGUAGUAUAAUUUGACAGGUCUAGCUAUGAACAAGUUCUUGCUGAUCUAGCUAGAGUUUUUCGGUUAUCAUUGUGAAAGAAUAAAUUAGUCACAAACACAAUGCUUCGGCUUGAUUUGCACGAAAAAAGUUCUUCUGCCAGCUUUACUCUAGUUGAAAUUUCCUGUAACAUAAUGCAAUAUAUGUACAAAUCUCCUCAGCAACUUAUGUACCAAUCUCUGAAUAGAAUAUGCCAAAGAUACAUUUUAUGACAAGUUCACAAAAUCUGAGAACCAUUUAUCGUGAAAUAAUUCAUACUUGAACUAAAAUGUAGAUUAGGAAUGUCACAUUGUGAGAUGUAUCACUGCCUCUUGGGUUAGUAUAGUAUUAUAGACUCCAACUUCAUACGAAUUUGGAUAUCUCAGACAGAUAUAACCCUGCCUCUUGGGUCAAUGACUUUGCUUCCCCUGGUAUCACAGUGAACAAAAGAUGGUGAAUAAUCAUGAUGAUGGGGAAUUAGAGACAUCUCAAUGUUGGGGCAACUUCACAUACGAUCAGCAAUAGAUCUCAGAUAGUUGAUCCCAGUAGGCACAUCACUUAUUAUCAGCUCAUUGGUGAUUCUGCAAUCACACCUCAAGAUUAAGAGAAAAUGGAGCAAGAACACUGUGAAGUUGAUCUAAAACACAUCUCUCUACUCCUUGACAUUUCCGGUUAUCAUUGUCCCUUGUGAUCACCAAAAGUUGUUGCAAGAACACUCACCAUUUCUAAAAUGAUGAAAACGGAUUUUAUCUCUCAUGAUAAUCUCCCUUUUGGUUGCUUUAGAGACAAAUUUACAGAAACUGUGGCAGUCAUCACAUAUCCGUAAGUUCUUCACCACUCUAAUUGAGCAUUCAGGCUGUAGACUUAGAAGACUAAAUGCAAUGGCAAGCUUUUCACUGUGAUGACUGAGUGUGGCUUCCUUUUCCUCUGUUCCCACAUCAUGGAACACAGAGUUGGUAUUAGGAGUAUAACCUAUAUUCUUCACCUGUCUUAAUAGAUCCUCCAACUUUUCAUAUAUUUUUGAUGAUUCUGGACGGAAUCUGUUACCACCAAAGAAUAUAUGGAUUUUUCCAUUAAAUUCUACAGAGCUAUAGGCAGCUACUUUCUUAGCACCUCUUUUUCUCAUUUUGAGCCUCACCUUAUCAACACAGUCCCACCUUCCAGCAGCCGCGUACAUGUUUGACAUCAAGACAUGAUAUGAACCAUUAGCAGGAUCUAAUUCAAAAAGCACAUCAGCUACAUGCUGACCCAGUUCAACAUUUUGGUGGACUGCACACGCACCCAAUAAGGCUCCCCACACCCCAGAAUCCGGUUCAAUUGGCAUACUUCUUAUGAAGUUAUAAGCCUCCUCAAGAUGUCCUGACCGACCAAGGAGAUCAACCAUACAAGCAUAGUGCUCUAUUUUCGGUUGAAUAUUCUUGUCACCGGAUUGAACCAUGCGCUUAAAAUAAGCCCUGCCUUCAUUCACCAGCCCAGCAUGGCUGCAUGCAGAUAAAACUCCCAGAUAUGUAACAUGGUUGGGCGCAACUCCACGCUCUUGCAUCCUCGAAAACAUAUCCAACGCCUUCCGGCUCUCCCCAUUCAUGGCAUACCCCAACACCAUAGUGCUCCAGGAAAUAACAUUUCUCCGAGACAUAUCCUCAAACAAAGCCUCAGCCAUGUCUACACUACCGCAUUUGACAUACAUAUCAAGCCGCGCAUUGGCAACAAUCACAUUGCAACCAAUCCCACAUUGUCUCAUAAUCCCAUAUAUUUCCUCCCCAGUCUCCAAACACCCCAACUGCCCACAAGCCGAAAAAGCACUCACAAUUGUAACAGCGUCAAGCUUCACUCCCGCCACACGCAUCCUGCGAAACAAAUCAAGAGCCUCGGCAGCAUGUCCACUCUGCACGCACGCAGCAACAAAAGCAUUCCAAGCAACUAAAUCCCUCUCAACCAUACUUCCAAAUAAAAACCGCGCCAAUCCCAACUCUCUAUUUCUCACACACAUUACCACCAUCUCCGUCCUCACUUCCGCCACAAACUCCAACCCAUAUUUCACCGCAUGCGCCGCAACCGCCAGCCCCGCCCACGGCAGAAGCUGAGCACACGCCUUAACUACAAAAGUGUACGUAAACUCGUCCGGACGGACACCUAGUCUAUGCAUUCUCCUAUACACCGCCGCCGCCUCGAUAAAGUCUCCAUCUUUCACAUAAGCCUUGAUCAUCGUGUUCCAUAGAAAUACUCUCGGCUUGUGCAUUUCGUCGAACACCUUGCGUGCAUAGGAAGUUUCCCCCAGGGCUAUGAAGCUGGUGAUGAGACGCGUGAGGAGGCUGUUCUUGACGGAGAUUCCGGUGGUGAGAAUCACGGCGUGGAGUUGCUUCAGCUGGUCUGGGUGUGACGAGCAUGACUCCAACUGCGCCGUGAAGGCUUGUUUGGUAAUCGUCACAGGAACCGGGUCGGGUUUCCGGGUCAAGUUCAAAUCCAAUUCAGCUCGAGAAGAGAACCGUGAAAUUCGGUUCCGCCAGAUCAUGCAGUGUCUUCUGGUAACUUGCAUUUGGGGGGACUCUUCCAGAUUUUUCAGAAGGGAGGAUGAGUAAAACGCUGUCGUUUUGCAUCGGCAGAUUUCAGAUAUUUUACCGGGAGAAUUGAAAGCAACGUGACUGGGGGGUGUUUAGGUAAUUUCGUAAGCGGCUGGGUAAAUUGGUCUCAGCCAAAGGAAAGGCUGGUCCAGUCCUGCUCCAGUCAUGGCUGCCCAAUCGCCGCGCGGGUGGUCAUGGAGUUCAUCCACCUACUCCACCACCGCUGCCAAGUGCUCUUCUUCCACCUCGUCGAAUCUCUCUUCGUUUUAUAUAAAACGACGUCGCUUCACCGCUUGCUCUUCCUCUUCUAAAUCUUCCGGUAGCUCCGGCGAGAAACCCGGGCCGAAAAAGCCGGCGAAAUUGGAUUUUACAGCCCCCGGUCCAACCGCAUUAGUGAAAGUCUCAAAGGGAAAGGGAUCCACAAGUGAAAAGACGAUUACAGCCCUGAGCUUCAAGCCUGGGAAGCGAUCUCUAUGGAAGAGGAUAUUCUUCGCCUCCAAGAAAGUUAGGAGCAUUCUUCUGCUGAAUGUGAUCACUGUAGUCUAUGGUAAAAGCUUAUUCGUUUUUUUUUUUUUUCAUAAUCAAGUUAAUUAUUUCGAGCUCAAAUUUGGAGUAUUUAAAGUUAAGAUGACAGUGGCUAAUGUUGUUUGUAGCAAGUAACUUCUCGAUUGUGAAAGAGGUGGAGUCUGUGAUCGACCCGGCGGCGUUUACGGUGGUGCGGUUUGCUAUGUCAGCUGUCCCAUUCAUCCCAUUUGUCAUCCGAGCAAGAGGUGAUGUGGAAACUCGUAAUGCAGGGAUUGAGUUGGGGUUCUGGGUUAGUUUAGGGUAUCUUAUGCAGGCAUUGGGACUGCUAACAUCGGAUGCUGGUCGCGCGUCGUUUCUUUCUAUGUUCACUGUGAGUGUUUUGCAUUAUGUUUGUAGGCAAUGUGUGUUAAAAGAUUGUUGUUUUGGGAGUACCUGAAGGUACUUGUUGGUAUAUUUUGGGUGAAUUUAACAGGUGAUUAUCGUUCCCUUGCUUGAUGGUAUGUUAGGAGCAAUAGUCCCUGCUCGUGUCUGGUUUGGUGCCUUCAUGUCUAUUGUAGGAGUUGGGCUGCUGGAGUCCAGUGGAUCUCCCCCUAGUGUAAGUUCUAUUACUCUUCUUAAGAUUGUAUAAGUGUAAUGCUGAUGAUAAUAAAGUGCAGAGGACCAAGUUGGGUUUUCUCUGUGGCCUGUUUAGAGAUCAGAAUCUUAUAAUUUCUGGUGAUCUUAUGUUCCUAGUUUGCAUAUAGGGUGCCGACUCAGAUAUAAGUAUGUUUCGUUUCAUAGAACUAGAAUAUAGACUUCUGGAUACUGACCACUUAAUUGCAAUAAAACAUUGGUUCUGUAAUUCUGAUUACACCUGCAUGAGUCAAGUACAGUUUCAAGUGCCAAAACAAUAUCCACUUCUGGUGAUAAGAUUAACCUAUUCAAUAACUAGUGAAAUGGGAAACAGCAUUGUCGAUAGUGAGUUACAGCUCUCUUGGCUUAAAAGGAGAGAAAACUCUCCAUAUGUGUGUGUAAACAUGUAAAUAUAAUUUAUUUAUCAAAUGUAUGCAGGUUGGAGAUUUGCUGAACUUCUUGAGCGCGGUGUUUUUUGGGGUUCAUAUGCUUAGAACAGAGCAUAUAUCAAGAAACACAAAGAAAGAAAACUUCUUGCCUCUGCUUGGAUAUGAGGUUAGUAUAUCAUUUUCGCCCAUGUAGUUAGUAUAUCUUCUUUGAUGCUCUGCAAGACUGCAACUAACCUUGGUUUCAUUUAGAUAUGCGUUGUUGCUUUCUUAUCAACAAUAUGGUACGUCAUUGGGGCAUGGUCUGGUGGUGGCCUCCACGACUUUAACCCAUCAUUGUGGACAUGGGAGAUGUUCAGGGAGUGGAUGGUUGUGUUUCCAUGGAUACCUGCACUGUACACAGGCAUAUUCUCCACUGUUUUAUGCUUAUGGGUAGAGGUAUGUGCAAAUGCUCUACUCUAAGACUGAAUAAUUUGUUCUCACAUUGCUCAAGUUGCUUGGGAAGUUGUUGGGAUACUUGCUUAUCUACAUUACAAUAAUAUAUGAAUUGUAGUGGUGCCAUGAAUUUUCUAGCAUUAUGAAAUUUCAAACACCCCUUUUUCAGCUCAGUUUUUUAACAGAAGAUUAUAUUUAACAGAUGGCCGCAAUGUGUGACGUAUCAGCCACAGAAACAGCAAUAAUUUAUGGUUUGGAACCUGUCUGGGGUGCUGGUUUUGCAUGGUUUCUCCUUGGCGAAAGAUGGGGUUCUACUGGCUGGAUUGGUGCUGCUCUUGUGCUUGGUAAAUUACUAUUGAUUUUCAUGAUCUAGUCAGCUUAAGAUACAAAAUAUCUUCAAAUUUUUUCAUUUGUUUACCAUCAAUUAUCUUUGUUAUUAGAUUACCAAAGUAAUAAAAGUGCUUCAGGUAGAAUUGCUGUCAGCAGCGAAGGACUAUUGAUCUACUACUAAAUGACAUAUUACAUCAGCUGUUAACCUUUUUAUCACUUUGUAUGGUAGAAAACUUCUGUUGCUUAUACUAGUAAUAAAAAGGAAGAGUAAUUUUUGCAUCAUAUUAACGCAUACUACACAUGCUUGGUUCUUGUUUCUCUGCAGGUGGAAGCUUAACAGUUCAGAUAUUUGGAUCAACAUCUCCCGCGGAGCCUUCAAAAGAUGAAUUGAAAGCUAAGAGACUCACUUUCCCAGUGGUUUCAGAUAAACACAAUGGCUUGUCUGCCUCACCCGUUGUAGUGAGUUCCAGAAAGGAUACACCUGAUCUGCGGAAUAAGUAAUUAACUAAGCCAUUUCUUAUGUCAGCUUCGCCUAUUCUCAGUUUUAGAUAAACAGACCACGCUCUCUAACGACAAUUCUGUUGUCACAUCACUCUCCUUGUAAUUAUGUAGCUUAUAAUCUGAAUCUCGAUUUAGGAUAGCUAAGUAAUGGAGCUUGAGGGCUCUCAGCUUUGUAUAGUUGUAUGUAGGGAGAGCUUCCAAUGAGGAUCUUAUAAUGAGGACCAAGUGAGGACUUUUAAAUGAAUGGUUGGAUGAUAUGCACAUGAGAAUUAGAAAAUAUCAAUUAAAAGUCAAAACCUUGAUCCAACCGUUCAUUUAAAAGUCCUCACUUGGUCCUUAUUAUAAGGUCCUCAUUGGAAGCUCUCCCGUUGUAUGUAUACCAGCAAUUAUUCCACAAUAAUAUGAACUCCAUUCACAAUAUACUAGUGUAGGUAUCAUCAUUUAUUACCGUAAGAAACACCCGACUGUAUGUCGUUCGGAAUACACUGAUUCAAAUUAAGAAGAAAGAAAUACACUAAUUCAUCUUUAUAUUCAGUACUCAACCUUGGCUAACAAAGGCGUACCUACACACAAGCUACGGUGGACUACAGCCCACCGCAGAAUUUGAUAAAACAUUGUUUUGUUGCAUAAUUAUAGUUAAAAAAAAAAAGUUAAAUUAUGAAAACAAGCCCACUCUAUACUUAGUCUAUAUGUAAUUAAACUUAGUUCAUAUGACAUUUUUUUUUGAAUUAAAUUCAGUUUACCCCCAUGAGGUUUGGGAGUAACUUUAUAUUAAUCCCUAUACUUUCAAUUUCAUCAGUUUACCCCUCAAACUUUUGAAUUUCCCUUAACCGUGACCAAUGUCUCAUCUUCUGUCCAAAUCAGACGUUAAUUGCUGACGUGGACCCAAUCUCAUGAGUUAAAUUAUGUUUGUACCCGAAGCUUAGAAAAUUUUCAACUUAGUUAGGGAUAAAAAGGAAUGAUUUUUUAAUUUUUUUUUCACUAGUUUUUUUGUUAAAUGACAAUUUUAAUCUUAACAAUGGGGCUCGUAUCUAGAAUUAACGAUCAAUUCAAACAAAAUAUAAGAAUUUGGUCACGACAGACAAAAAUUCAAGAGUUCAGGGGGUAAACUGAUGAAAUUAAAAGUGUAGGGAUUAACAUGAAGUUACCCUCAAACCAUAAGAGGGUAAACUGAAUUUUUUUAUCUGAUUACAUAUAUAUUAUUUAUUUUAUUAAAAGCAGUUGCUCCUUUUGUAUAUUUUGGGUCAACUUUCUUCUCUUUAUUUCUUUUUCUUUGUCGUUGUAUACGUCUCCAUUCUCUUCUGCCGAAACAGCUAAGCCAAGUGUCAAACUUUCUCUCUUUAAUCUUCAUGUAUGGUUCUUAGUUAUAUUGAUCAUCCUCUUAAAGUCUUGUACGUGUGAUAUGACCUAGUUCUCAAAUCUCAAUUGAUUAAUGCCUUGAUCAAAUUUAGUCUCAAUAUCCCAUCAUCUCAAAUCUCAAUUGAUUAAUGUCUUGAUCAAAUUUAGUCCCAAUAUCCCAUUAUCUCAAAUCUCAAUUGAUUAAUCCCUUGAUAGUCCCAAUAUCUCAUCAGGACUGUCUUUCUAUUGAUAAUCUAAUUCUAAUCUCAAUUAUUGUAUAUGACUAAUGCUAAUGAUGUGAUAUAUAUAGAUAUAUAGUUGUAAUCAGGGCCCUUCCACUAAGGGAUCUCUUAUUAUGACUUAUAUGAGGGAUUGAGCAUUAGCCCAACUUUUUGAUCACAUAUCAACAUCUCCACCAUUCAACCUCUAGGUAUAUAUGAGUAGAUCAUUUUUGAAAAUUUUCAGCCAAAUUGGUGAUCUUUAAGGCUUCAAACUGGCUUAAAUCAAUGGACUGUUCAAAUCUGUCAAUCAUGAACCGUUCAUGAAAAUUGCAGUUUUGAGCACCUUAACGAUCAUCAAUUUAGAUGAAAUUUUGCAGAAGUGAUCUACAUAUUAGGACCUAAAAACUGAAUGGUUAAGAUUGAAAAAUGUGAUCGAAAAGUUAGUCUAAUGCUCAAUCCCUCAUAUAAGUCAUAAUAAGGGAUCCCUUAGUGGAAGGGCCAUGUAGUUGUAAUAGUACCAACAUUUGAUUCAUAGUUAUUAGAAUAUGUUAUCCCGUCGAGUUAGGUUUAAGGAUUAUAUACUCAUUUACUGUAUUGUUAGAGCGGUGUAAGUAUGUUCUUUUGUCUUUAACUUUUGUUAUCGAAUUUUUAUAAAAUGUUAUAAUAUUGAUUUCUUAAUUAUCAGUUAACUAUGUCAUUUUUUUGAUAUGUUUUUAAUUUAAGAUGUGAUAUGUAGAAUAUAAAAAAAAAAAAUUUAAACUCACCCCAACCUAAUAUCUUAGACAGGGCUGCUCACCUGCGAGACACAAUUUAAGGGAAAAAAGGGGCGAAUCGAUCUCAGCCGUUGGAUCUUUAAUGAAUAUAUCUUACGGUUAUCAAGGAAACACGAUCUCAUGCCAAUUAUCUUUUGUUCAUCUUCUUCCCUCAUCUCACCUCUUCGCAAACUUAGCAACCCAUAUCUUUUCAUCUUCUUCUCUCAUCUCAGGAUUUCUCAACAUCCCAUACGUGGGUUCUUAGAAGCCUCACAUAUUCUUUUCUAAUACGAGUGGUGUAACUUGAAAUCAACAUGUAAAAAAGAACCGUGAGGAUGCUCUUUAUAUAUGCUAAAUUCGAAUAAGAAAGGGAGAAAUUAAUUUGAAGAUAGACAAAUCCCAUGAAAUAGAGGAUGUGCUUUCGUCCGCCCGUUGUGCCUGGAUUCAAACCCAAGAUACAAUCUUCUUCGAAUUUGUCGAGUCUCUUAUUUCUCAUACAAUUGGAACAGAGCAUAUGUGUGUAUAUUUUUAAGAGCAUAUAACAUGGUUAAAAAGAAAUUUCUGAGAGGAGAAGAAUGAAAUAGAAUUGGGUUUAGAGAUAUAUGAGAGGAGAAGAGUAUGAACUGAUCUGGGUAUGGCUUAGAGAGGUGAGAGGUGAGAGGCGAGAGAUGAGAGGAGAGGAAACAUGGAUCUGCAGAAGUUGAAUAACAACAAUUCGAUUGGAUGGUGGCUGCCAUGAGAACCGUAGGAUGUGUUCAUUAAAGAUCCAACGGCUGAGGUUGAUUCAUCCCUUUUUGUCCCUUAAAUUGUGUCCCGCAGGUGAGCAGCCCUGAUAUCCUAGGUCCGCCAUUGUUGGCCAACAUAUUGCUGCUAAGUAUUCGUCUUCUAGUUCCAUUUCCACGCCUAAAAUCCGUCUCCAACAUGAUCAUCUCUAUCAAAUUGGUACUUAAUCUUGGCCAACACGAUCAGGUUCUGCUGCAAAAUGUUCGUCUUCUAGUUCCAUUUUCAAACCUUUCUUAAUUUCGUGUUGCCUUGUUUCAAAUAGUUGACUCUAUCAACUUGAUUAAUAUCAAUUUGGAUACACACCCUACGCCUUAACAUAAUCUAAAUAGUUAUUUAUUAAGAAUGUACGUAGGAGACUUGUUGGAUUUGCUCUAACCGAUCGAAUCAAAGUUCUUGUUGAUCGAAUGAGGAUGAGUCUGUAGCAAAUCGAUUUUCACGAGUAAGACAUCACUCUCAGAUGAUUUUCUUGUCAUGCAAUCUCACAUACAGUUGCCUGCAGUCAUUAUCUUUUAGUUUCAAUAAUACAAUUUAAGAGACGGUACGUAUGGGAGUUGGCGAUGAUUUCUUAAAAACAACAAAAUAAUGCAAUAAUAUCAAAAAAUAAUUAGAUUAUCCAACAGUGAACAUGUCAGUAUUACGAUCAUCUCGCACUCUGCAGUGUUAACAAUUUUCAAUUGAAAAAAGGGAGAUUGAUUGUUGCUGAGAUAUGAUAAGACCAAUGAUAAGAUCUGAUUUAUUGAGACCAUGUGAAGCAUUACAUGUUUUUCAGAAGGUAAAUCAUAUACAAUACCUAAUAAUUUAGCUGAAACUGUAGUGGAAUUAAUAUAUUAAUGUUCUCUAAGUUCUUGCCCUAUUAUAUAUAGCACACAAGAUUGGUACGUUGUAUACCGCGAUCAUAUGAACUUAGGGUUCUGAUCAGUAGUAAAAAUAUCAAUCAAAAAGUACCGAUCGAUAAUCAAACAUGUCUCUUCAAGGUAAGGUGGAAGCUGAAUUUGAAAUCACAGCACCUGCUGACAAGUUCUACAACAUUUUCAAGAUUGAGGCUCACCUAGUCCCAAACACUUCUCAAACUGGCAGUAUAACUGGAGUUGCAGUGCAUGAAGGAGACUGGGAAACUGACGGGUCUAUUAAGAUUUGGAACUAUGCAAUAGGUAAGCCAUUAUAUGCGUAAUUGUUCGAUCUGUUAUUAGACUGUACAUGACCAAAGCUGCCUCUGAAAAAUUAGGUAGGUGAUGUAGAGGUUUUCAGUUAUAAUUGUUUUACAGUGAUUUUAACUCUCUUGUUAAUAUAGAGGGCGAAGUGGGAACAUUCAAGGAGAGGGUGGAGUUAGACGAGGUGAACAAGACCAUAACUCUGAAUGGAUUGGAAGGAGAUGUGUUUCAGUAUUACAAGAGCUUCAAGCCUAUCUAUCAGUUCACUCAAAAGGAUGAGGGCAGCAGCAUUGCCAAAGUGUCCAUUGAAUAUGAGAAGCUGAGUGAGGAGGUUGCAGCUCCAGAUAAGUACAUCCGCUUGAUGACUAACAUCGUCAAGGAUCUUGAUGCCCACUUCGUCAAGGCCUAAAGAAGGAAUAAUUAGCAUGCAAUACGAAAGCUAUAGCUCUCGCUAUUGCUACUGCAUGCUGGUUUUGUAAAAUUAAAAACAAAUAAUCAUCUAGUACUGUUGUGGUGUUCUAAUUUUGAUGCUAAGUAUAUAUCACCAUUGNGAUGAAUAAAUGUGUGAACGGUGAUAUUGAUAUGUAUAUGGUAUAUGUAUNNNNNNNNNNNNNNNNNNNNNNNNNNNNNNNNNNNNNNNNNNNNNNNNNNNNNNNNNNNNNNNNNNNNNNNNNNNNNNNNNNNNNNNNNNNNNNNNNNNNNNNNNNNNNNNNNNNNNNNNNNNNNNNNNNNNNNNNNNNNNNNNNNNNNNNNNNNNNNNNNNNNNNNNNNNNNNNNNNNNNNNNNNNNNNNNNNNNNNNNNNNNNNNNNNNNNNNNNNNNNNNNNNNNNNNNNNNNNNNNNNNNNNNNNNNNNNNNNNNNNNNNNNNNNNNNNNNNNNNNNNNNNNNNNNNNNNNNNNNNNNNNNNNNNNNNNNNNNNNNNNNNNNNNNNNNNNNNNNNNNNNNNNNNNNNNNNNNNNNNNNUAUUCAUCAUGUUGCGACCAAGACUAACUAUAUAGCUCAUACAGCAGCAGGCAACAUUUUCAUGAUAAGAAACGUCCAUUUGUAUACUUCAAAAAAAAAACGUCCAUUUGUAAUCUAACUAAUGUUCGAUGUCAACCAUAUUAUUGUUGGCAGCUACCAAACAAACUAUUUUGAUCGGUCUACAUAUAAAUGGAGCUGGCUGUGAAGUAGCCAAAUGAUUCCCUUUACAUGCGAGCAUGCCUGGCCAAAAUACUGGAUCUACUGUGAGCACAGAUGAGUAGCUUGGAGAUUCAUUCUCGGAGAUCGAUCAUUCAGUGUGGACGCUUAUCUAUGCCGGCCUCUACUAGCAAACAUAACACGUGAAGACACUAAUAGUUCUAGAUUUGGUAGGGUUUAGACGCUUAGAGCCUAUCUGGGGUGGUUUCGCAUGUUUCGCUUACCCAUCCCACAUGCAUUUACAAUAUUGGUGAGAUUUGGAUUCAUCAUUUCUACGAUAUUAGUUAAAUUAGAAAACAAUUACGCCGCAGCUCACAGACAAUUAAUUACGUUAUAGUUGAAUACUUGAAUUAGAAAGAGUUUGUAUGUAGCUACAUAUCAUGAAGAGUAAGUAAACCAUCACUCUUAAGAGAUUUUCUUGUCUGUCAUAUAAUCUAACAGCUGUCUGGCGUAUGUUAUUAAUUAUCUUAUUUUUAUUUCAAUAAUACAAUUAAAAAAGGGUAAAUAUGGGAGUUGGUGAUGACUUAUGAUUCUAAAAACAACGAAGUAACCAAUUAGAAUAUCUAAAAGAAAUAUAUAAAAUUAAAAAUUAUAAAAAAAGCUAGCCUUUAAGAUACCGUGAACUAAUCUAAAAAGUGCGNNNNNNNNNNNNNNNNNNNNAAUCAUAUGAUAAUAUCAAUAAUAGGAGGACCAUGUGAAGCGCAUGUUUACUGAAAUGAAAUUAAUAGUACCUAAUAAUUUAGCUGAAAGCGUAGUGGAAUUGAUCGACGUUAUCUGAUAGUUCUGCCUUCUGCCCCCUAUUAUAUAUAGCAAACAAGAUGGGUAGCUUAUCGGCAUAUCGCGAUCAUAUACUUUGGGUUCUGAUCAGUAUCAUAUCGAUCACAUCACAGAGUACCGAAAAUCAAACAUGUCUCUUCAAGGUAAGUUAGAGACUGAAUUUGAAAUCACAGCACCUGCUGACAAGUUCUACAACAUCUUCAAGAGUGAGGCUCACCACAUCCCUAACACUUCUCAAACCGGCACCAUAACUGGAGUUGCGGUGCAUGAAGGAGACUGGGAAACUGAAGGAUCUAUCAAGAUUUGGAGUUAUUCAAUAGGUAAGCCAUUAUGUACGUAAAUGUUCAAUCUGUUAUAUAUAAGACUGUUAAUUUUAACCAUAUAUUAACCAAAGCAGCUGGUUCUGAAUCACUCGACAGGUUGAGAUAUCAGGAACGGUUGAGAUUUUCAGUUAUAAUUAUUGUUACAGUGAUUAUUUUCGUGUUUAUAUAUAGAGGGGGAAGUGGGAACUUUCAAGGAAAAGGUGGAGCACGACGACGUGAACAAGGCCAUAAUUGUGAAUGGGUUGGAAGGAGAUGUGUUUAAGUAUUACAAGACCUUCAAGGGCAUCUAUCAGUUCAAUCAAAAGGAUGAUGGCAGCAACAUUGCCAAACUGACCCUCGAAUAUGAGAAGCUGAGUGAGGAGGUUGCAGUUCCAGAUAAGUACGUUCGCUUGAUGACUAACCUCGUCAAGGAUCUUGAUGCCCACUUCGUCAAGGCCUAAGGGGGGAAGAAUUAUAUAGCAUGCAAUACGAGAGCUACGUAUAAUGAAUAGCUACUACUGUGUGCUGGUUGUGUGAAGGUUAAGAAUAAUAAUCUGUUGUAGUGCAUGCUUUAUCUGGUUAUGAGUACAAUAGCGUACAGGUACUGUCGUCUUUUUAUGCGAGUAUAUAUCACCAUUGUGAUGAAUAAAUGUUUGAACGAUGAUAUUUUGAUGUUUCGUAUAUGUAUCAAGUUUGUAAGGUUUGAUUUCCAUCAAAUACAUUGAAGUUUGCCG